rnacentral:rRNA from 1 species
AUUGAACGCUGGCGGCAUGCUUUACACAUGCAAGUCGAACGGUAACAGGGAGCUUGCUCCGCUGACGAGUGGCGAACGGGUGAGUAAUAUAUCGGAACGUACCCAAGAGUGGGGGAUAACGUAGCGAAAGUUACGCUAAUACCGCAUACGAUCUAAGGAUGAAAGCAGGGGACCUUCGGGCCUUGUGCUCCUGGAGCGGCCGAUAUCUGAUUAGCUAGUUGGUGAGGUAAAGGCUCACCAAGGCGACGAUCAGUAGCUGGUCUGAGAGGACGACCAGCCACACUGGAACUAAGACACGGUCCAGACUCCUACGGGAGGCAGCAGUGGGGAAUUUUGGACAAUGGGCGCAAGCCUGAUCCAGCAAUGCCGCGUGAGUGAAGAAGGCCUUCGGGUUGUAAAGCUCUUUUGUCAGGGAAGAAACGGCUGUGGCUAAUAUCCACGGCUAAUGACGGUACCUGAAGAAUAAGCACCGGCUAACUACGUG